AAACCCACAAGCUUCGCCCCUUCUUAGAAGUACAGUAUACUCACCUUCUUCUCCAAAAAUCUAUCAGCAAAUCAAGAAGCUUUUAGUAGAAAAAUAUAGUGAUCAUCUAGCUCAGACCGUUGCUGCAAUUUUCAGUCUUGGUCCUUAGCUGUGUGGCUGACAACUGUUCAUAGUGUAUCUUACUGUGAGAAAUUCAAGAAGAAGUUUAAGCAGGAAAAUCCUAAUGCGAAGAUUGUGCUAGCUGUUACUUUCAUAAUCAUGUUUCUCCCCUCCAGGUCCUCCCAGGGCCACGUGUCUGCAGUUUCCCAUGGGAAAGGAAGGCCAAAAGAAAAGAUCAAAUUAUCAUCUAGUAUAAUCAAUUGAUGGCCUAUGAAAUUUUUUGUUGAUGACUUCAUGUUCCUUGGAGGUAACUUCAUCUUUGUAAAAGAAGAUACAAAUUUUAUUGAGAAAUUGCAUUAGAACUUACAUAUUCCAGCGUAUACAUCCGUCCAAAUUCUAAUAUUUUCAUAAUUUUCGGUUAUUAUUUGUUCGUUUUCGUGUACUUGCAAACUUUACUCCUUACUGUGAGGUAUUUCAAGAAGUUGAAAAAGGAAGUCGAGAAAGACCAAGAGCUGGAAUGAAGGAUCAAAUGAAGAUCCAUGAGCGCGUAGCAAUUUUCUACUUAAAGGCCACCCUGGUACGACUUGCAUAACAGAGAAUGAGAGAAAUGGAGAAAUAGACACAAUAGAAAUAGAGAAUUCAGCCAUUUUCACAGGAAACAACCUAUGAUAAUAGGUUUGGAUCAACCUAUUGGAAAUAUGCAUAUACACGCAGCGGAAGCAAACAUCCAAGAUCUUAUUCUUACAUGUAAACUAGACAAAUAUAAUCAAAUUCGAGAUUGUGACGCUAACCUUUUGAAGCUGUUGCACAAGUCUUCAAUGGCGUCCGUGCUCUCCAGGUCUACGAUCUUCUACUGUGUAUCCUGAACUUUUAUGAACGUAAUACUUGAGUGACAAGUAUUCGGCUAGAAAACCAUAAUACCUUAGGGUUGAAUGGCUUUCUUUAUAUACACACGUUUUUAGGGUAAA